rnacentral:rRNA from 1 species
AGCAGUCGCCACGGGAAUACGGAGGGUGCAAGCGUUAAUCGGAAUUACUGGGCGUAAAGCGCACGCAGGCGGUCUGACAAGUCAGAUGUGAAAUCCCCGGGCUUAACCUGGGAACUGCAUUUGAAACUGUCAGGCUGGAGUCUUGUAGAGGGGGGUAGAAUUCCAGGUGUAGCGGUGAAAUGCGUAGAGAUCUGGAGGAAUACCGGUGGCGAAGGCGGCCCCCUGGACAAAGACUGACGCUCAGGUGCGAAAGCGUGGGGAGCAAACAGGAUUAGAUACCCCAGUAGUCCCUGUCUCUUAUAC